UUUCAGUUGUGAAUUAUUCCAGUUCCCAAACAGGAGAGUAAAGUAUAAAAUGAGCCAGCAAGAGAAGCUAUGACAUGCAUCUAUAUAGGACUAUAAUUAUAGCUAACCAGCUCUUCCAUCAACUCUGAAAGAAACUGCCCACCAAUCCAACAUGACAAUGAAGAUUGUGCUUACCGUAGUCGCACUGGUGGCUUACUUUGCUGCAGUUAAUUGUCAAGAUCCUGUUUGCCUGGCUACUGGAACUACUGGCAACCUUGUAUCAUGCGCCACCAUGUUUACUCAAAACAGCGGUGACCUUUGUUCACUGUCCUGCAUCAAUGAUCUUGCAGCACUUUAUGGCAGAUGUGGGUUUUCACCAAACCCAGUGAUUGCGGUUUGCCCUAACGCAAGUGAUGCUGCAUCUACUGUUGCCCUGCCAAUGAUGGUGCUCACUGGAAUAGUCGUGGCUUUGGCCUCGCUGUUUUAAGCAAUCACAAGGUCAAGACUAUAUAUAUACUUGAUACUAUAAUUAUAUAUAUAUAGAUUCAGACACCUAGAUUCAGUAACCUGUAGUGCUCUACUUCUAUAGCGAGUAUAAUUAUAUACAUGUUGAUGUUGAUGUUAGAAACUUACUAUUUUUAUUUAGACACUCUC